GGAGUGUGUCUGUACGUAUGUGUGAGCAGUCAUGUGACCACAACAACCUCCACAGGCUAAAAGAUCCCAAUCAUCAGAUCCUGUUUUUUCCUUGUUUGGUUCUAUUUUAGACUGGGACGUCUCUAAAUUCUGAGAAUUUACACUUUUUUUUACAUAGUUCUGUUAGCAUCGUUGCUAUGCUACUUGACCUGGGGGAACAUGGUGUGAUUUCCUGGUUGUCACAGAAAGCUGUGUUGCCUCAGGGCUCCAGGAAUGGCCAACCAGCGAGACACCCCGUGCAGCAGGGGAGGAGUGAGAACAACGCUGCUCCUCUGGAUCAUGAUGGAAUUCCCGCCGUCCCUCCUUCAGCCCCCCCUCCCUCUUUCCCUGCCAGUGGACAUGGCCGUCAUCCCUCAGAGUUGGCGCUUCCUCCCUCUGACCCAGGCAGAGCUGGGCCCCCUCUUCUCAAACUCCAGCCCCUUCUCCUUUUCUCAGAGCCUCUUCAUUGUGCCUCCACAUCAUCACCCCCCACCGGCGAGCCUCCGGGCUUCAUUCGGACCGUACUCAGUCACACAGCUCCUAUCAGAGCCUGCCCUCCCCCCCUCGCACCUCCUGUCUGCCUCCCUCCUCUCAGAGCAUGUAGAAAGAGAGAGGGAUGCUAAAGGUCGGGAGAGGUUUACAGUGCGAGUUCUGUUCCAUAAGUGGGGCGAUUCUAGGUUUAGGAGAACCUGCAUCACCCUGCAUGCCUUCAAGGAGACAGAGGAGCACAGAGCCUCCUGCAUGACACAGCCUCCUCUCGGGCUGUGUGUGGUGACCUUGACCCUGCCCAGCGACUGGUUUAGGACUCAACCCACCAACCAGUCAAACCAGGUUGUGGACAGGCGGCAGAGCGUUCUCCGCUACCAACACAAGCGUCACAACCGAAAGCAGAAAAGGCACCGUUCAGCAAUUGGGAAGACGGAAUUCCCACAGGCUCUAAGAUACGAACGGGGCUCCGUGCAGAAACAAGUACAGCUUUACUACUCAUCCUCCAGCAUGAUGGCAGACUUGGACCUGGAGCCACAAGGGUGUGUGGAGGACAGAACAGCUCCAUCUCAGCAGCAGCUCAUCCACAUUAAAGCAGUGAUGCUGAAGGAGUCAGAGAUGGAAGGAAAGGAGAGCCGGAGCAAAGAAACCUGCCUGAAUGGGCGAGAAGUUGAAGAGCUCGGCUUGGAUACCAACGUUUUGAUCCGUUACCACAGGGGUCUGGUCCUGACCGGACAGCCGCUCAUGGUGUCGGUGAAUCUGAGAGCCAACCUCAGUGCUGAGGUGGUUAUAAUAAGGCUGAAGGUGAAGAAGAACUUGGUGUCGGUGGUGGCCCACAGAUCUUUGACCCCUGACCUGUGGGACGUGACCCUGGAAAAAAGCCAAGACUCCAGUCACGACGUGGUGUCUAUAAUUUGCCGCAAACAUGGCAUCCAUAAACAUCCAAUCAAGUACAUCAUUUUUUCAGUCCUCAUUUUAUGUGCAAUUAUUUGUUUUGGUAUCAGACUUAUUGAAUGCUGAAAAAGAUUCUGCAUCUCCCUGCAGUUCCAAACCGCUCCACCAGGUGGCGUGUCUAACAGCUAGUGCCUUAAAGGGCAGCUUUGGAGUUGCAAUGGCAGUCCAUGUGGACUGGUGGGUGGAGUACCCUGACCACAGUAAACCAGUAAUCCCCUCCAGAGCUGCAGUGAGCACCUUCUCUUUCACAGAUCAUCAGAUCUUUGGAAUUGCUCCCAUCACAGAGGUGCUGAAUUCGUCCCACUUCAGAGUUUUAAAACUCAGAAUGCAGGUUUUCGAAAUGUAACCCACGACCAUGUGUUCCCCAGAGCAACAUGCUCACCAACACAGCCAUACUGACCAACCAGCCUGCGUCGCUCGCCGUUAUGGUCCUCGCCAUAAGCCACGACGAGAAGGUGUAUGACGUCACCUCCGCUGCUACGUGCUAUUCAGCUGAUGAGAACACCGUAAAGGUCUGGAUAUCCCGUAUUUAAAAAGGAAACCACUGUAUUUUUUUUUAUGCAGGCGACUUAGCAUGAUCAUCUUUAAUCUCUAUUCUGACUCCAGGUAACCAGCAACUGCUCUGCCAUCUUUGUAGACGGCAGUGAGUCAGGGUUGGGGAGCACGUGUGCAAAGGUGGAGUUUGUCCUGGGGACGCUCCGUGGUUCCGUGUGUCUAGAAGUCUGGGCUCCCUCGGUUCCCCUCCAAGUGUCCCUCUCGGACCCUGUUCUUAAUGCCAUCAAUGGUUGGAAUCACAUCACAGAGAAGGG
rnacentral:lncRNA from 1 species